AGAAAACGACGAUUUCAUACUAAAACGUUCAACCCUAAUCUUCAUGCAACACCUACGGAUACCUCAACAUUAGGCCAUCUAGGUUAUGACGCGAGCAUUCCUUUUGCAGCGUUGGAUUUUCUUUUU